UGAUCAACAUAACGUUGUCUACAGUACUCCAUGCAAUAACUGCGAAGGAGUCUAUAUCGGAAUGACUAGCAACCAACUCAAAAAGCGAAUGAGCGGACACAAAUCAGAUGUAAACAAGAUUGUUAACACACCAACAGACAUAACUCAUGCAAAAACAGCUCUCACACAACACAUGAUCGAACACAACCACACCUUCAAUCUCGACGGCACAAAAAUAGUAGAUCGCACUUUCCGAUCAACCGCCCUACCAAUAUUAGAAAUGUGCCAUAUACAGAACACAUCUAAUACCAUAAAUUUCCGCACUGACGUAGAUGGCCUCAAUACAGCCUACGCUGGCAUAUUGCAUACAAUCAAAAAAGCCAACUCUCGCAGAGAGCAACCUAGCAAUAGCACACACAGCACACACAAUUAAUGUUAGAUCAAGUUCUACGGAUAAACUUUAUCCAACUACACGAAAGCUCUACCUUGUUUCACCCGCCAUCUUUGAACCAACCGUUGAAAGUCAUAUUGUAAUAGCACAGUCCAGGUCGUUGAUAAUAGGUGUGUCCAGUACAGUGUCCCAAAACCAAAAAUUAAAUAACUAUUUCAAAACCUAGGCAUACAAGAAGCACGCAAUGAUACUCUCGGCAUUACUAAAUGUAACGAAGAACGACAGACAGUUUUACCCUUGAAAAAGGCCAAAUACACAAGGCCGAAACGUCGGGCAAUACAAAACCAGUCGUUUUGAAUUUCCCUAGACUGAGAAAGCCAGUUCGAAAACAUAAAUCAAAUUCCAGUCGAAAUUCACGAA